GUGAGGACUCGGGAGGCGGAGGGAGGGUGGCGACGCCAGCCAGGGCACCGUCCCGGCCUUCUCCCCCCACCUCCUCUCUCCUCAG
rnacentral:pre_miRNA from 1 species